GUUACUAUAGAGCUGCGCAAAUUGCUCCACUUAUUGCAGCUUCCCACCGCUCGACUCCCAUGACAUGGGUCGAAUUGGAGAAACAUAGAGCCGACGGCAUCUCACUCCCCGCCGUGGCAUGGAUGCCACCGAAACACAGACCCAAAGCGCCAGAAAUGCUGCCGACAACCACACUUACUCUCUCUGUGUGGGAUGACUACCGCAAAAAUAAGGGGAACAUGUCACCUAUCUCACCGGCAACCCCAAUAGAAUCGAUCCAGCACCUUAUCCCAAAUUUCAACCACAAACUUUGGCACAGACAUGGCAUCCACACGCUGUCGCAGGUGUUGCAGGGCACCAAACUCAAGCAAUUCAAGGAUAUAUGUGAAGAAUUCCGAAUACCAACGACAGCGACCUUCUCCUAUAACCAGCUACAAUCAUGGAUAAACCUACAUAAAUCGCAACAAACAGUACACCCACCUGAUCCACACUGGCUUAAACUGACAGAGAUAUGCACCAAGACGAAACCGGCAACAAAAAUUAUCUCAACAAUUUAC